rnacentral:piRNA from 1 species
UGCAGGAGUAAGGUGGUAUUGUUUUGUG